UCCCUGGUGGCUCAGACGGUAAAGAAUCCGCCUGCUAUGCAGGAGACCCAGGUUCAAUCCCUGGGUGGGGAA
rnacentral:tRNA from 1 species